rnacentral:rRNA from 1 species
UGGGGAAUAUUGGACAAUGGGGGAAACCCUGAUCCAGCAAUGCCGCGUGGGUGAUGAAGGCCUUCGGGUUGUAAAGCCCUUUUGGCGGGGACGAUGAUGACGGUACCCGCAGAAGAAGCCCCGGCUAACUUCGUGCCAGCAGCCGCGGUAAUACGAAGGGGGCUAGCGUUGUUCGGAAUUACUGGGCGUAAAGGGCGCGUAGGCGGCCUUGAUAGUUGGGCGUGAAAGGCCUGGGCUCAACCCGGGAACUGCGUUCAAUACUGCGAGGCUAGAGUGUGGGAGAGGUUGGUGGAAUUCCCAGUGUAGAGGUGAAAUUCGUAGAUAUUGGGAAGAACACCGGUGGCGAAGGCGGCCAACUGGACCACAACUGACGCUGAGGCGCGAAAGCGUGGGGAGCAAACAGG